rnacentral:rRNA from 1 species
UACGGGGGGGGCAAGCGUUGUUCGGAAUUACUGGGCGUAAAGGGCUCGUAGGCGGCCAACUAAGUCAGACGUGAAAUCCCUCGGCUUAACCGGGGAACUGCGUCUGAUACUGGAUGGCUUGAGGUUGGGAGAGGGAUGCGGAAUUCCAGGUGUAGCGGUGAAAUGCGUAGAUAUCUGGAGGAACACCGGUGGCGAAGGCGGCAUCCUGGACCAAUUCUGACGCUGAGGCACGAAGGUCAGGGGAGCAAACGGG